GAUAGCGUGCUCAGCACAAUACGAUCUAUAAAGGAGACAGAGACUCUGCCCCAAGGCGUUUACACCCUAGACGGCAAAGCCACCACUGGGUGAUAGGAACUGUGCCGUGGAGAUGCAGAAGUGUUCCCCGUGCCCCCAGGACCCAGGUGAACAGGAGCAUCUGAGAACAAUGAGGACAGACUGACAGAUCUGAAUGGACUGUGUGAUUUUGCUUUGGAAGGAUCAUUCAUCUGCCUACUAUUUCUAGCCCUUAGCACACCACAUAGCCAGUCAGUUCACAAAGACCCACGUCUACAACAGAGUCUUCUUUUGCUGCUAACGGGACUGCAAAAUUCUAAUUACAUUAGAUACAAUUUAAAAAACCCAAUUUUCUCACUUUUUUCUAAAUUAAUUAGGUCUCUCAUGUAUUAGUUUAUGUUUCAAGGGUUUUGUCUAUUACUAAUUUUUGACAUUUAAAGGCAGAGAAAAGAAAUAAUUUGUGCAUUCUGUUCAUCUCAAGCAUGACACAAACCAGGAUCCCAUCCACAGGCCAGGCUGCACAAGAGGCAUCUCUUCUAAUUUUAUAAAGAGAUUGUGCUGUUGGUGUGAAAACAAAACCUCUAUCUUUUCAUCAGCAAGAGAGAGCUCAACAGUCUUAAUAGGAAAGAGACAAACUUCCCUACGAGAAAACAAGACAUUCACCACUGCUGCCACAUCAGUCCUGGAAUUCACUAACAUGCAUGACAUCAAGAGAACAGAUGAUGCUUCCAACCAGUGGAAGAGAGGAAAGGCAGGACAAAGCAAAAAUGACAAAUACCCUAACAUGCUGCAAAAUCUUCUGUGUUCCCCACCUCCAUUUCACUAUGAAGGGGCUUGCAUCAGACUGUUGUGUCAUUAUGCUGAACUGAGGAUUGGGGUGUUUGCCAACCUCCCGAAAGGUG